rnacentral:sRNA from 1 species
GACCCAGAAAGAGAGACAGAAAGCAUCCAUUCUCUCACACACACCUCGAUAAGUCGAUAUAAAUAGAGUAAGAUGAUUAGUGUAGAGAGAGAUCAUUAUUAGCAUUCGAUCUGCUUCUUCGCCAUCGAAGUAAUUAAUCAAAUCGGAGGAGAUCAUUAGCAAAUUAUCAGCUUGGGCUUCAUGGGGAAGGUGUGCCUUCUCGUCAUCGACGAGAACCUCUUCAAUGGCAUCCUCCUCGUCGCCAUCGUCGUCAUCAUGUUCAUGCUGCUCGCCGGCGGCGGCGCGCCGCCGCCGCGCCGCCGCGGCUUCUGCGUGUACUGACUGACCGGCCGGCGAGUGAAACCAUGAACAACACUGCAGGUGCAGGUCGAGCUUGAUUUCUAAGCUUUUAAUUUGUGUUUUUUUUUUCUCCUUUUUUUUUCUUUUUCUUUUGUCCGUGCGAUGAAGCUAGCUCGUGAUUUCUUCUUCUUCAUGUUUUCGGGAGUAAUUAAUUAACGUGUUCUUGUGUAGAAAUAUAUGUGAAGGAUUUUCUGUUUGAUC